GGAGGAGGCCGAAGGAGCCCCCGAGAGGGGGGAGGGGAGCAGGAGCCCCUCCCCCACCCCGGACCCCCGGCGAACUUUGACCUUCGAGGACGAGGACGACGACCCCGAGCCCCUCCCCCCACCCCAAUAAACAACAGGAAGUGACGUCAUCACAGCUCCGAGCCCCUCCCGAUCCAAACAAACAACAGGAAGUGACAUCAUCAUGGCUCCUGAGCCCCUCCCAAUCCAAAUAAACAACAGGAAGUGACGUCAUCACGGCUCCUGAGCCCCUCCCGAUCCAAAUAAACAACAGGAAGUGACGUCAUCACGGCUACUGAGCCCCUCCCGAUCCAAAUAAACAACAGGAAGUGACAUCAUCACGGCUCCUGAGCUCCUCCAAAUCCAAAUAAACAACAGGAAGUGACGUCAUCACGGCUCCUGAGCCCCUCCCAAUUUAAAUAAACAACAGGAAGUGACGUCAUCACGGCUACUGAGCUACUCCAAAUCCAAAUAAACAACAGGAAGUGACGUCAUCACGGCUCCUGAGCCCCUCCCAAUCCAAAUAAACAACAGGAAGUGACGUCAUUAUGGCUCCUGAGCCCCUCCCGAUCCAAAUAAACAACAGGAAGUGACGUC